rnacentral:rRNA from 1 species
ACACAUGCAGUCGAGCGGUAGCACAGGAGAGCUUGCUCUCCGGGUGACGAGCGGCGGACGGGUGAGUAAUGUCUGGGAAACUGCCUGAUGGAGGGGGAUAACUACUGGAAACGGUAGCUAAUACCGCAUAACGUCUUCGGACCAAAGUGGGGGACCUUCGGGCCUCACGCCAUCAGAUGUGCCCAGAUGGGAUUAGCUAGUAGGUGGGGUAAUGGCUCACCUAGGCGACGAUCCCUAGCUGGUCUGAGAGGAUGACCAGCCACACUGGAACUGAGACACGGUCCAGACUCCUACGGGAGGCAGCAGUGGGGAAUAUUGCACAAUGGGCGCAAGCCUGAUGCAGCCAUGCCGCGUGUGUGAAGAAGGCCUUCGGGGUGUAAAGCACUUUCAGCGAGGAGGAAGGGUAGUGUGCUAAUCGCACAUUGCAUUGACGUUACUCGCAGAAGAAACACCUGCUACCGGGGGGGGGGUGCACUCGCGGUAAUACGGAUGGUGCACAAAUCAAUCCAGUGGUACUGGGCCUAAAGUUCACGCCAGAGGCUCGAUAAUUGAAAUGAAAAAAUGCCUAAUAUGUAGGCGAGAACUG